GGCGGAUGUAGCUCAGUUGGUAGAGCCCCGGGUUGUGAUCUCGGUUGUCGUGGGUUCGAGUCCCAUCAUUCGCCCCAU
rnacentral:tRNA from 1 species